ensembl:lncRNA
GCUUAUUAUGAGAUGUUACUGCUCUCUGAGCUACAAUAAUAUUUCAUUGUAAUGAUGCUUUAAUUAAAGGAGAUGUAAAGAUUCUGCUGUGUUCUGUGCUCUUUCGAAAUGCUACACAUACUGUAUAAUUACUUAAUUUUACUUGCAAGUUAUUUCAGUCCUGUCACCUGUACGGAAACAUGUUCAUGAUGCUCAGCAUAUUCAUGAUACUAUAUGCUGAGGCAUAAAAAAUAGAAUAAGUAACCUCACUUUUUAGAUUGUUGACACUUGAAGCAUAUUGUCUUUCUGUUGUCAUAAAGUGAACAAUAGCUAUAAACUAAUUACACACACAUACUCAUGGCUGUUUUGGUGCAUGAGUAAAGCACUGAUUUGAAAAAUAAUUGUUCAUUAGUUAGAAAUGACUGAUGUGCCCAACAGCUUUUUGAAUUAUACAAUGAAGAAUUUUUUAAAUAUUUUUUAUUAGAUGUAGUUCAGAAUAAUGAGGUCAUAAAUCACCCUGUUGCUUCAUGCAAAAAUAUUAUGCAGUCCUGUGACUGUGAGCACAAUCAACACACGCUCAAGCAUCAGUGCGCAUUUGGAGUGACUGACUAAGGGGCAAGAGGGCACUCCUGAGGGGCACUACAGACAAGGUUGGUCUUUUUCAUUCAUUAUAUGCUGUCAUUUAACUAUUUAAAUGACUGAUUUCAUUACACCAUCAUUAGUCCAGUACAGUGGUAAUGUUACAUAUGUUUAUUAAAAUAAAUGUAAGCACCUGCCUCUAUCAUGCAUAUACUACAUACAUGUUACUUUUUUGCACAUAUACUGUAGUUUUGUUUUUGGGGUGUAAAAAGAAGAGGGGUCCUACUAAUAAAUUUAUACUUGAAGUAAUCAAAGUCAUAGUAGGUGUAUCUGAGUAAUAAUUAACCCUGAAAUAUUGCUUUCUAUUAUCUACAAAUGAAAUGUUAAUGCUGUGACUAGCAGGGCUGCAAAAGAAUUACUCUUUAGACUUAACAAAAAAUCAUUAUGAAUUAUGAAUCAAAUCAUAAAUAAUCAUUAAUCAAAAUUUAGGGCUUUAUGGAUGCUACAAUUCACAGUAUUGUGACUUCAGGCUGUUAUGGUAUGAUUCUACAAGAGCUGGGGAAACACACGUGCCAUGGUACCAGGGUUGAUGUUAUUCUCAAGCAUGGUGAUACAUGUGAUACA